rnacentral:rRNA from 1 species
CAGCCGCCACGGUAAUACGAAGGGGGCUAGCGUUGCUCGGAAUGACUGGGCGUAAAGGGCGCGUAGGCGGCGAUCAAAGUCAGGCGUGAAAUUCCUGGGCUCAACCUGGGGGCUGCGCUUGAUACUUGGUUGCUUGAGUGGGGAAGAGGGUCGUGGAAUUCCCAGUGUAGAGGUGAAAUUCGUAGAUAUUGGGAAGAACACCGGUGGCGAAGGCGGCGACCUGGUCCUUGACUGACGCUGAGGCGCGAAAGCGUGGGGAGCAAACAGGAUUAGAUACCCCUGUAGUCCCUGUCUCUUAUAC